UUACCAGUGGAAUCAUCUUGACCUUGGCAGAGAACUGAAUCCUAAUCACAAUAGUAUGAGCAGAGAAUAGGGUCUUUUGCUGCCUGAACCUUCAGUGCACAGUCAAGCCUGCAGUACACAUCUGGACUCCCGACUCCAGAAAUGCUCGCUCCUCAGGGACCCACUGAAGCACGUUGUGAUUUCCAAAUACACAGAAAGAACAGGACAGAACAAACCAACAAAGAAGCGGAUUGAGACAUUUGCCAAGCAGAGGAUGCUUCCACCUCUGUGGUGACUAUUCUCAAAUGACUUGUAUGUUUUUCGUUCAUGUGAUUGAAAAGGUGGAAGGUCUCCGUCCGACUGUCCAAGCAGUGAGCCUGUGGUGGUCAAGUGAGACCCAGAAGAGGGAAACCCACAGAAUGAGUGAAGCAACAGCUAAGUAGCACCCAGAAAAGAGUCUGCUCACUAUUCUGUAGUGAAGAACACAGAAGAAUCACCGAGAUGUUCUGCCCUACACAAACAUCCUGACCUGUACCGUAAGUAGAGGAAACUUUUAAACUUUUAAAUAUUGCUUAUUAUUUCUCUAGCAUCCCUUUGAAACUCAGCAUACUCAACAUAUGGCCUACUUUUCUCGUUAAUACAUUUUCACUAAAUUAUAUUUGAUGCCACAACUCCACUUUAUUAUGUCUUACUCCAGCUGGUUCCAGUACAAACAGAAACCCGGGUGGGCGGGGCUCUUCCAGGCUCCACCCACGAAAGGCGGGGCUCCCUCCAGCACAGCUGAGCCCUGCCUCUUCUGUGGGGGCUCGGGGGUAAGUGCAGCGGCUCCCUGAUCAGCCUUCGAUCUUAAGGGCCUCAUUCAGGUACUUUGUAUAAAAAUGGGAUCUUGAAAUCGCACUGCUAGCUGACCAACAGCACGUUGCUGUUUCAGGCUUUGCCUUAGAAUAUUUGUUUUGCCUGUAAUGUUUACACUGCCGUCUGCUUUUUCAUUUUUUAGCCAUUUAACUAACAGCUGUUACCGUAUUUGUAUUUUAGUGUGAAUUAUUAUCUUUCAGUCCUUGGUUUAAAAAGACAUUCUGACUUAUUUUCCCAGGUUCCUUUCAAAUAGUCUCACCUGCAAACGUCACUCAUUCGUUAACUGGAUUGGGUUAGUUAGUUAUUAGGUGAGACAGUUGUAACACAUCGCAAAAGGCCCCUAAAACCAAGUCAGGCUCAGGUACGGAGAUAUGGAUUUGUGCAUCGCGGUGGUAUCCAGAGCACUAACACCUGCUGGGCUCCCAAGAGGAGCACAUUCUGUAGUGAACAAACCGUUCCACAGGUGCAUCUUUGGGAAAUAAGCCCUAUGGGUGCCAUAAAACUAGUAGCAUACUUAGUCUAAGUUCCAAAUGAGAUCAAAGUCUAACCGUCUAGAAAAGUCUUUAGGCAAGGGCAGAAUCUGUUACAGGUUAGGACAUGUUAACAAAUAAGAGAACAGAAGUCCGAACAUUCUCUGUAUACUUUUACACCAAAUUUAUCACUGUGUGUUUUUAAUCUGUGUAAGAUACCGCUAAAUAGAGAGUUCUGGGUUAUAUACACAGAUUAUUUCAUGGCCAAAUAUUGUCAAAUGACCAAAAUAUAAGUCCCACAUCCAUACUGCAACAUCUCAUGACUUCUCAGCUUCUGGCCACAGAGGAGCCCAGGCCCAUUUACCUCAAUUUCCCUGCACAUGAACAGGAAGCCUACACUCUUAGCAAUGGACGUGCAUGGGGACAUUCAGAUAUGGCACAGGCAAGAUGAUUCAAGAAUGCUUUAUAUGCUUAUGUGCCUUGAUACUGGUUGCAUAUAUAUUUAAAAUUGUUGCUUCCUCUUGCCAAAUUGAUAGCUUUAUCUUUAUAUAAUGGCCUUCCUUACAUUUUAUUUCUUUUAAAGUCUUUUUUUUUUUUUUUGUCUUUUUCCUUUUUAUCAGUACCAGGGAUCGAACUCACAACUGCACACUUGCAAGGCAGGUGCUUAUGCUGCUGAGCUAAAUCCCCAGCCUAAAGUCUUUUUAAUUCAGCCAAAGCUUGCCUGCUCCUGCCUUUAUUCCAUUUGCAUGUCUUAUCUGAUUCCACCCCUUAAUGUUCGUACUGUGUAUGUCCUCAGGGCUGGAGUGUUUUGUGGGUGGUGGUGGUUUUUUUUCCAAACAACAUGUAAAUUUGGGUCUUGUUGUUUUAUUCAGUUAUUCACUCUGUCUUUUAAUAGGAAAAUUUAAUUCCCAGACUAACAAAACCUGAGAAACAUAUAGCCACCUAAAUUGUCCUAUAGGACAUUUGAAAAGGAGUUCUUAAAACUGAAAGAAACAUUCAUAAGUAAGACCAAAACUUUGGAUAGUUGUAAAACUCACUGAUAAGAGUAACUAUGCCAAAUCAGAAUGUUCUGCUGUUGUAAUUAUGCUGCAUAGCCAUUCACAUCAUUAGUAUAAAAAUUUUAAAACAGCUAAACUAAUAACUGCAUUAAUAUGAUGAUAUAAGCAGUGUAUAAAAGAUGAGAAAUUGAACAUCAGAAUUUCAAAAUGUGUGGAAAAUGGAAUAAGAAGUUACCCGGAAAGAAUGAUGCUGAAAUGCAUAUGUAGUAUAUUACAGUUUGGGUCUGGGUUAUUUCCCAAAUAACCCAAUAAUUCCCAAAUUCCAUGGUGGAAGUUUUAAGAGGCAGAGCCUAGUGGGAGCUUUGAGUAAGCGGGGCAUGCCCCUGACAGGGAAUGGUGUGACCUCUCUGUCUUCUUCCUUUUUCAUGUCCAAGCCAUAAGCCGAGUGCCUUUGUGCUUCCAUAUGCUCCCGCCAUGAGGAGCCACCCCAGGCUCAAAGGGAUGGGACCAUCCGCGUGGACCGAAACCUCCAAAUGUGAGCCAGAAUUUUAAAACACCUAACUGUUAGAACAACAGCGGUCUGGAGAGGCUCACAUCUGUACCCUCGCCUCAGGAGACUAAGACUCUAAUGGACCUCUGAGACCAUGACUUCCAUUGAACAAAAGUGCCAGUGGUUCCAACAGUGCCAAGUCCAAAUGCCAUAGGGAUUGGCAAGUAGCUUUUUGAAACACAUUUCAUUUUCUUGACGUGUCUGUAAGUAGUUGUAAUAUCAGGAUAAAAGCAGACCUCAGACAGUGCAUUGAGAAGUGUUAACUUUCACGCUCCAGUUUUGUAGGGUGGGGGUAGUAAAGGUUAUAUUCUUAAAAGGUUUGAAAUAAUCCACAGGCAAGCCGUGCGAAACUGGGAACAACAGCCACACAAGAGCUUGGAAAGACGUCCUUCUCCAACUGAGCCCACAGCAGACCUGCACCUGCACCACAGAUCCAGAAAAACCUAGCCACCAGAUGCCCGUCUUCAGCCUGCUAAUGACUAACUCUGCCUAACGUCGUGACUGUCAGCCAUACUCCUCAGAUAGUCUUCAGUGUGAAAAACUACAGCCAACAAUUCAUAUGUGGUGA